rnacentral:rRNA from 1 species
CAGCCGCCGCGGUAAUACGGAGGGAGCUAGCGUUGUUCGGAAUUACUGGGCGUAAAGCGCACGUAGGCGGUUAUUCAAGUCAGAGGUGAAAGCCCGGGGCUCAACCCCGGAACUGCCUUUGAAACUAGAUGACUAGAAUCUUGGAGAGGUCAGUGGAAUUCCGAGUGUAGAGGUGAAAUUCGUAGAUAUUCGGAAGAACACCAGUGGCGAAGGCGACUGACUGGACAAGUAUUGACGCUGAGGUGCGAAAGCGUGGGGAGCAAACAGGAUUAGAUACCCCAGUAGUCCCUGUCUCUUAUAC